GCGGAUUUAGCUCAGUUGGGAGAGCGCCAGACUGAAGUCAACUUCGGUCCUGAAAUCUGGAGGUCUUGUGUUCGAUCCACAAAAUUCGCA
rnacentral:tRNA from 1 species